rnacentral:rRNA from 1 species
UACGUAGGGUGCAAGCGUUGUCCGGAAUUAUUGGGCGUAAAGAGCUCGUAGGCGGUUUGUCGCGUCUGCUGUGAAAACUGGAGGCUCAACCUCCAGCCUGCAGUGGAUACGGGCUGGCUAGAGGCAGGCAGGGGAGAACGGAAUUCCUGGUGUAGCGGUGAAAUGCGCAGAUAUCAGGAGGAACACCGGUGGCGAAGGCGGUUCUCUGGGCCUGUACUGACGCUGAGGAGCGAAAGCGUGGGGAGCGAACAGGA